UACGGAGGGUGCGAGCGUUGUCCGGAAUCACUGGGCGUAAAGGGCGCGUAGGCGGUCCGGUAAGCGCGUGGUGAAAGCCCGGGGCUCAACCCCGGGUCGGCCGUGCGGACUGCGGGACUCGAGCACUGUAGAGGCGGGCGGAAUUCCGGGUGUAGCGGUGAAAUGCGCAGAUAUCGGGAGGAACACCAAUUGCGAAGGCAGCUCGCUGGGACGUUACUGACGCUGAGACGCGAAAGCGUGGGGAGCAAACAGG
rnacentral:rRNA from 1 species